rnacentral:rRNA from 1 species
UACGGGGGGGGCAAGCGUUGUUCGGAUUUACUGGGCGUAAAGGGCGCGUAGGCGGCGCAACAAGUCACUUGUGAAAUCUCCGGGCUUAACCCGGAGCGGCCAAGUGAUACUGUCGUGCUAGAGUGCGGAAGGGGCUACUGGAAUUCUCGGUGUAGCGGUGAAAUGCGUAGAUAUCGAGAGGAACACCUGCGGCGAAGGCGGGUAGCUGGGCCGACACUGACGCUGAGGCGCGAAAGCGUGGGGAGCAAACAGG